UGCGGUCUUGCAUGAAUGAUGUAACGAUACAACAGCUGUCUCUAUGAUUGACUCAGUGAAAUUGGAAUAACUGUGCAGAUACAGUUUACCUCUAGUUAGACGAGAAGACCCUAUGCAGCUUUACUGUUACUAAUUAUUGGGUAUGAUGAAUUAAUUUUCAGAUUAUAAGGUAAAUUGGUUAAUAAAAAUGAAAAUCCUUUAUUUUCGCAUCAUACUUCAGAGUCUCUUGCUUGUUGAAUACUAAUUCAGUGGGCGCUUCUGGCUUCAGUGGGCGCUUCUGGCGCCAAUACAGAAGCCCAAAUGAGAGAUAGCCUCAGUUCUGACUUUUAAGUAGCCUUAGAAAGGAAUAUAUGGUUAGGAGACAGUUUAUGUGGGGCACAGACCCCUUAAAGAGUAAAAGGGAGUGUCUAAAAAUUAUUUGUUAUAGGCACAAGCUUGGCUUCGCUUAGCUUGGCCGUAACGUUGUUUGUGGUUUUAUGUAGUUUUACUAUAUUUAAUCUUCUAAAAUUAUUUCUAUCUACCCUCGCUGUAGAUACGAAUGGAUAUUUAGGUACGUUUUUCACUAUAGUGAAAAUAGCGGUAUAAUAAAAAAUAUUAUGAAUAAAUUUUCUAAUGUUUUUUGAGUUAUUAAGAGAUUUCUUAAUAGUCAUGAUAAAUACCUGAAAAGCUCAACGGCUAAUUCGUGCCAUACUGUUUGAUUAACAACAAAUCUUACAGUUGCGUAAGCAGGGCAUAGGAUCACAAGAUGCAAAAAGGAAAGAUCUUGGAUUAUUGGAAAAGCUACGCUAGGGAUGUUUGUCCUUCAAUAUUUUAAGCUAUCUUUGGCUGCGACUACCAUCUCGCCUGCUACCGCGAACCCCAUUCCCGGCAAAGCACCCCCUGACCCCCGUCCCGUUUUCCCCCCUCUCUCUUUAUGAGAGAGGGGGUAUAAGGGAAUGGGGUAUGGGGUA
rnacentral:ncRNA from 1 species